rnacentral:rRNA from 1 species
ACAAGUAGAGUGAUCGAAAGAUGAAAAGCACUUUGGAAAGAGAGUUAAHCASUACGUGAAAUUGUUGAARGGGAAGCGCUUGCGACCAGACUUGCCCGCGGGUGAUCAACCGUCCUUUGGGGCGGUGCACUGACCCGCGGCGCAGGCCAGCAUCGGUUUCGGCGGUCAGAUAAACGGGGCGGGAACGUGGCUCCCCCCGGGGAGUGUUAUAGCCCGCCUCACCAUGUGGCCCGCCGGGACCGAGGACCGCGCUCCGGCUAGGAUGCUGGCGUAAUGGUCGUCAGCGACCCGUCUUGAAACACGGACCAAGGAGUUGUCAAACNACNCGAGUCUUUGGGUGUCAAACCCACGGGCGCAAUGAANGUGAACGGAGGUGGGAACCCCUUUGGGGGCGCACCAUCGACCGAUCCUGAUGUCUUCGGAUGGAUUUGAGUACGAGCGUCGGUUGACUGACCCGAAWGAUGGUGAACUAUGCGUKGAAUAGGGUGAAGCCAGAGGAAACUCUGGUGGAGGCUCGCAGCGGUUCUGACGUGCAAAUCGAUCGUCAAAUUUGCGUAUAGGGGCGAAAGACUAAUCGAACCAUCUAGUAGCUGGUUCCAGCCGAAGUUUCCCUCAGAUAGCAGUAACGUUUUCAGUUUUAUGAGGUAAAGCGAAUGAUUAGAGGCCUUGGGACACAACGUCCUUAACCUAUUCUCAACUUUAAUAUGUAAGAAGUCCUUGUUGCUUAAUUGAACGUGNCAUUUGAUGCACCGUUACUAGUGGGCCAUUUUUGUAGCAGACUGCGAUGCGGAUGAACCGA